AUACGAGGGGGGCUAGCGUUGUUCGGAAUUACUGGGCGUAAAGCGCGCGUAGGCGGAUUGGUCAGUUAGGGGUGAAAUCCCAGGGCUUAACCCUGGAACUGCCUCUAAUACUGCCAGUCUUGAGUUCGGGAGAGGUGAGUGGAAUUCCUAGUGUAGAGGUGAAAUUCGUAGAUAUUAGGAAGAACACCAGUGGCGAAGGCGGCUCACUGGCCCGAUACUGACGCUGAGGCGCGAAAGCGUGGGGAGCAAACAGGAUUAGAAACCCUAGUAGUCC
rnacentral:rRNA from 1 species